rnacentral:rRNA from 1 species
GACGAACGCUGGCGGCGUGCCUAAUACAUGCAAGUCGAGCGCAGGAAACUGACGGAACUCUUCGGAGGGAAGGCAGUGGAAUGAGCGGCGGACGGGUGAGUAACACGUAAGGAACCUGCCUCAAGGAUUGGGAUAACUCCGAGAAAUCGGAGCUAAUACCGGAUAGUUCAACGGACCGCAUUGUCCGUUGAUGAAUGGCGCUCCGGCGUCACCUUGAGAUGGCCUUGCGGUGCAUUAGCUAGUUGGCGGGGUAACGGCUCACCAAGGCGACGAUGCAUAGCCGACCUGAGAGGGUGAUCGGCCACACUGGGACUGAGACACGGCCCAGACUCCUACGGGAGGCAGCAGUAGGGAAUCUUCCACAAUGGACGAAAGUCUGAUGGAGCAACGCCGCGUGAGUGAUGAAGGUUUUCGGAUCGUAAAACUCUGUUGUAAGGGAAGAACACGUACGAGAGGAAAUGCUCGUACCUUGACGGUACCUUACGAGAAAGCCACGGCUAACUACGUGCCAGCCGCCGCGGUAA